GUGCCGUAGCUAACGCAUUAAGCGCCCCGCCUGGGGAGUACGGCCGCAAGGCUAAAACUCAAAGGAAUUGACGGGGGCCCGCACAAGCGGCGGAGCAUGUGGAUUAAUUCGAUGCAACGCGAAGAACCUUACCUGGGCUUGACAUGCACCAGACAUCCCCAGAGAUG
rnacentral:rRNA from 1 species